rnacentral:rRNA from 1 species
UUAAAUUGAAGAGUUUGAUCAUGGCUCAGAUUGAACGCUGGCGGCAGGCCUAACACAUGCAAGUCGAACGGUAACAGGAAGCAGCUUGCUGCUUUGCUGACGAGUGGCGGACGGGUGAGUAAUGUCUGGGAAACUGCCUGAUGGAGGGGGAUAACUACUGGAAACGGUGGCUAAUACCGCAUAACGUCGCAAGACCAAAGAGGGGGACCUUCGGGCCUCUUGCCAUCAGAUGUGCCCAGAUGGGAUUAGCUUGUUGGUGAGGUAACGGCUCACCAAGGCGACGAUCCCUAGCUGGUCUGAGAGGAUGAC